rnacentral:rRNA from 1 species
AUUGAACGCUGGCGGCAGGCCUAACACAUGCAAGUCGCACGAGUGGCGGACGGGUGAGUAAUGUCUGGGAAACUGCCUGAUGGAGGGGGAUAACUACUGGAAACGGUAGCUAAUACCGCAUACCAUCAGAUGUGCCCAGAGGGGAUUAGCUAGUUGGUGGGGUAACGGCUCAACAAGGCGACGAUCCCUAGCUGGGCUGAGAGGAUGACCGGCAACACUGGAACUGAGACACGGUCCAGCCUCCUACGGUGGGCAGCAGUUGGGAAUAUUGCACAAUGGGCGCAGUCCUGAUGCAGCCAGGCCGCGUGUAUGAAGAGGGCCUUCGGGUUGUAAAGUACUUUCAGCGGGGAGGCGUUACCCGCAGAAGAAGCACCGGCUAACUCCGUGCCAGCAGCCGCGGUAAUUC